UAAUAUUGGGGUUUCUUCUUUCUCUGCUUAUUUCAGAUUUUUUUAUAUCUUAAAGUGAUUAAUCUGCUCUGCUCUCCCUGUGUACAUCCUCUUUGUUUUCACAACUGAGUUGGUUAGUUUGUUGUUCUUUGUCUUUGUUUUAUAUUUUGUUGUACCUGUUAUUUAUUCGGAAAAAGGUUUAAAAUUGCUGCGAUUUAUGGGUGUUGCUCUGUAUUCUUCUUUUUAUAUGCUUUACCUAAUUGUUUACUUGGCAAAUUUAUAUGUUUUAACCUAAUUUUGAGCUGUAAAAUUGGAGUUUAAACCUAAUUUCUUUGGAUUUUUUCCAUUGCUAAGCCUGAAAUUUAACUAAUCUUUUCCUACUGUGCUUCUUGUCUAAUUGUUAUUUUUCUACUAACAAAAUAUUCAUCUUUUCCAUUUUCUAAACACCCAUCGCUGCUUCAUUCUCCAAUUGUGGUUGCUUCUUCUGAAGUACUUUUAUUUUAUUACUCAGUUGUUCCUUUAUUUAUUCACCGGUAUGAACUCUUAUUUUGGGGAUAUUUCCUUUUUUCACUGUGUGUCUUUCCUUUCUGCUUUAUCUAUUUUUUCGGGUAAUCGAAUCUUUAUACUUAUUUGGUAAUUAUUUGGGUUCUUCCUUGGUUUGAUUUUAUACUUAUUUGGUAAUUGUUUUGGUUCUUCCUUGGUUUGAUUUUGUUUCCCUUCUUUUCCUCUGAAUACCCGUUUUAUGAUUUCUACAAUUUGUGAUUUCUAACUCUAUUCAGUUUAUUUUUCCAGCAUCAAUGUAUACGGGGGUUAGUCACAAUCACAUAGAAAAGGAAAAACUAAGCUAUCUUGUUCCUUCUCUUUUUUUCUGGUUGGAAAAAGCAACAUAGGAGGUGUGAGGGUUAAGAUUUCAUAUUUUGCAUCUUUGGUUUUAACAGUCAAGGAUGAAUAAAAGACUCAAAAAAUAAAUUCUCCUAAAAUUAUGUCAAUCUGGAGUUAUCAUUAGCACCCAAAAUAAUUAUUCUUUCCUCUAUUGCUCUAUAGGUGUUUAAGUUUUCUUCUAUAGAUCAUGAAACUUCAGACUAAUACUAAAAAAUACUGAUUUUAUAAAUUAAUAAUUACCCACUAACAAUAAGUUAGAUUUUAGGUACAUCCAUGAAAUUACCUAAUAUGAUUUUUCUAAAAAAAGGCACCAUUCAAACCAAAUUCAAAGUAUAGUAUCAGGUUAGUAUUAAAUUUCUUAUCAGUAUUUCAUCAGUUUAGUUGACAUUAUUUGAGCUCUAUAUUGCUUUGGUAGCGAUUUUGCUGCUAUUUAUGAGACCUCCACUAAUCGAAGUUCUCUGCACCUUCCCGUUCAAUGUAGAUUUCCCCAAUAAAAAAAACUAACAAAAAUAGAGGAUGCCAAUUAUUUCAAUAGCUUCGCAGUGUACUCUUGGUUGUCCAUUGAAUUGAAAAUAUGGGUUCAAUUUUUAAUAUCAGUUGAAAUUUUAGUGGUAUUUUGGGCCAUCCAUAGGGGGUUAAAUCAGCAAUAUUGAACAUAAUGGUAUGCAAACUCUUUUGAUGGAUAAUCUAAAAAUUAAGUUUUUCUUAUGUAUGAAGAGGAAAGGGUAUUGAUAUGCUUGCUCUGGGAAUUCUCUACCAAGCUAAGUUUUGUUUAGUUUAUGAAAAGAGCAGGUAGAAAGCUGGGAUUUUUGUUCAUUGACGAAAAACGAUUUGGAGGUCAUUCUGAGCUCAUUGUCUUUUUUUUAUCAGAAAAUGUGAAUUCUGAGCUCAUUGUGUAAAAGCAUACUGUGUCUUUUCUUGCAACUAUCCCAAUGUGCAAGUGGAGUAUGAAUAUAUUCAAACGUCAUAGGAGUAAGCGAUACAGAACUGGAGCAGAGCGGAAAUAACUUUCAAAAAAUUUACAAGUACAAGGUAGAAAUAGUUUCCCUGCUAAAAUGAAUUCCCCAUCAGAGUGGAAGCUUUCUUUGUACUCAUACUUGCAAUGUGUUUUGUGGAAUAACAGUCUUUCUCCAACUGGUUUGUAAUUAAUAUUGAAUUUCUCUCAUAAAUUUUAUAUCUACUUCUUUUUUGUUUUUUUUAUUGGCUGACUCAUAUUUGUAAUGUGGGAUGAUUUGUUUCUGUAAUUUUACGGAUAUCAAUAUGCAGGUUAUAUUGAUAAAAUGGAAUAAAUACUUAGUAUCAGUGAAAUUACACCAUUAAAUACAGAAUGGACUUGCAAAGUCCAGACUGUAGACAAAUUUCGGCCGCGAGACAGCAGAGAUCAGCGAGUUCGUUUUCAGACAAUAUUUGUCCAGGAUGAAAACAUAAGUCAGGUUACAACUAUAAUUGUAACAUAAUAUCUUCUCACUUGCACUCUUCCAAUAAUUACUGCAUUAUUGUUCUUAAUAACAUUAUAGGAGGAACAAAUUUGUGUAAUACUCUAUGGUGAUGAUAUUAGACGCUGUGAUAACUUGUUCAAAUUUUUUGAGACGUAUCUGAUUUCAACUGCAAAAGUUAGAAAUCCGUAGCCUUAUUCACUACAUAUCAGCCAGUUUGAAUGGGACGUCGACAUAUUCACUAUUGUGGAGUCUAUUCCAAACAAUAAUGAAAAUGAGGCACCGUUACCUCCUCUGUCGAGACUGAGUACAUUUUCGUUCCUUGAUCUUGAACAACAGCCUUGCGGUGUUGAAUUUGAUCUAUUAGCUGUGGUGGAAAACUGUGGGGCAAUGCAACACACCGCUGAUCAGACUAAGAGAUUUCAAGAGGCCGUAGUUAUGGACAACAAGAAGAAACUUCUUUUCUUCACUAUAUGGGAAGACUUGGCAAGCAACGAAAGAACUGAGUUACUGAGACAAGUGAGGCAACUGCAAGAAUGCCCUGUUAUUGUCGCGAAACGGAUAGCUACCACAAAAUACGAUGGUGGCGGAAAUUUUUUACGUCGAAGGAGAAAUUUCGCUACCUGAGCAUUUUCAACGAUUUUAUCUGCUAGGUUGUUAUGAAUGUAAUUAUCUUGUUCUGAGCAAAAUAAAAAGAGAGGCUCAAUGCAUAAACUGCAGACUGCAACGAAUGUUAAUUCUAAGGUGCCACUUUGAGGUGGAAAUCACAGACGAAACUGGCACAACUACAGCAACAGUGACUAAAGGCUUGGGUGAAAGAAUGUUGUCAAUGAGGGCUGAACAAAUAUAUGAUAUCGUUAGUGUUAAAGUACAUACACAUACAACGCUACAGU